GCAAGGUGGGCGUGGCAGUGGGGGUUGCACUCGGCCUGGCCGUGCUGCUGCUGGUGAUUCUCAUCCUGGCCAUCUGCCUCUGCUGGCGCCAGCGCUGGAGCGGCAAGCACAGCGUGGCGGACCUGGAGGAGAGCCAGGAGCAGUGGUACAGCAACGAGGAGUGGGAGUGGAAGGCGCCCCCCCCGGGAGUCGCGGCCAGCACCCCGUCCGCCCCCAGCUGGCCAGGUCACGUCCCAGAGACUGAGGGCGGCGGCCGCAGCCACAGAGUCUCCUCGUCCUUCCGGCCUUCGCUGGACAAAGUGGACACGUCCCUGCAGACCCAAAUUGCCCGGCCCCAGGUGACCCGGCUCUGAGUCCCAGCGGCCGCUCAGGCCCGUGACAUCCAGGACCGAUCCAGCGGCCGCAGCUGUCGGAGGAGGCUGCUCCCGGGGACCUGCGCCCAUCACACCUGCGGAGCUGAGGCCGGGGGGGCCCGGGCCGGACGUGAACCCGGAGCCGCCCCCAGGCCGGUGACUCUCUGCUGCUGAGACCCACCCCCUCAUGGGCAGGGACACGGCGGACCCAGGCCUGGCCCAGCGGCCGGGGACUGGCAGGCACGGAGCGGCCGGGAUUGGGACCGUGCUGCCGGCGGUGGCGGUGGGACACUGGGCUCUGGGCCAUGGUAGCGUCCCCAGCUCUGCCCGAGUCUGGGGGGGGUCCGUUCCUCUUUGGCAGCCCGGUGCCAGGGGCGGGGCGGGGCUUUCCCGGG